rnacentral:sRNA from 1 species
CGGCGGGACCCGAGGGCCUCACUAAACCAUCCAAUCGGUAGUAGCGAAGGGCAGUGUGUACAAAGGGCAGGGACUUAAUCAACGCAAGCUUAUGACCCGCACUUACUGGAAAUUCCUCGUUCAUGGAGAAUAAUUGCAAUCCCCAAUCUCCAUCACGAAUGCGGUUCAAUGGGUUACCCGUGCCUGCCUGUGUAGGAUAGGCACA